UUCCUGAUUUUCUUGCAAACUUGAGUUCACUCCAAAGUCUAGAUUUAUCAUCCAACAAACUUGAUGGUCCUAUGCCAGCUGACUUGUGCCAUAAACAAGCAAAGGGCUUACUGUCGCUGAGACUAGAGGGCAACCCAUGUAGCUCAGGAGGCGCCUGUGAGUGUAGCAAGCAUACAAAUAGAACUCAGGUUC